rnacentral:rRNA from 1 species
GACGAACGCUGGCGGCGUGCUUAACACAUGCAAGUCGAACGAUGAACCCGGAGCUUGCUCUGGGGGAUUAGUGGCGAACGGGUGAGUAACACGUGAGUAACCUGCCCUGGACUCUGGGAUAAGCGUUGGAAACGACGUCUAAUACCGGAUAGGACCUUGGAUCGCAGGGUGUGGGGUGGAAAGUUUUUUCGGUGUGGGAUGGAUUGGCGGCUUAUCAGCUUGUUGGUGAGGUAACGGCUCACCAAGGCGUCGAUGGGUGGCCGGCCUGCGAGGGAGAUCGGCCACGCUGGGACUGAGAAACGGACGAGACUGCUGCGGGAGGCAGCCGUGGGGAAUAUUGCACAAUGAGCGAAGGCCUGAUGGAGCAGCGCGGCGUGGGAGAUGACAGCCUUCGGGUUGUAGACCACUUUCAGUAGGGAAGAAGGGCUUCGGCUUGACGGUACCUGCAGAAAAAGGACCGGCUAACUACGUG